UGGGGGAAUAUUGGACAAUGGGCGCAAGCCUGAUCCAGCCAUACCGCGUGGGUGAAGAAGGUUUUCGGAUCGUAAAACUCUGUUGUAAGGGAAGAACAAGUACAGUAGUAACUGGCUGUACCUUGACGGUACCUUAUUAGAAAGCCACGGCUAACUACGUGCCAGCAGCCGCGGUAAUACGUAGGUGGCAAGCGUUGUCCGGAAUUAUUGGGCGUAAAGCGCGCGCAGGCGGUUCUUUAAGUCUGAUGUGAAAGCCCCCGGCUCAACCGGGGAGGGUCAUUGGAAACUGGGGAACUUGAGUGCAGAAGAGGAAAGUGGAAUUCCAAGUGUAGCGGUGAAAUGCGUAGAGAUUUGGAGGAACACCAGUGGCGAAGGCGACUUUCUGGUCUGUAACUGACGCUGAGGCGCGAAAGCGUGGGGAGCAAACAGGAUUAGAUACCCUGGUAGUCCACGCCGUAAACGAUGAGUGCUAAGUGUUAGGGGGUUUCCGCCCCUUAGUGCUGCAGCUAACGCAUUAAGCACUCCGCCUGGGGAGUACGGUCGCAAGACUG
rnacentral:rRNA from 1 species